UACGUAGGGUCCGAGCGUUGUCCGGAAUUACUGGGCGUAAAGAGCUCGUAGGUGGUUUGUCGCGUUGUUCGUGAAAACUCACAGCUCAACUGUGGGCGUGCGGGCGAUACGGGCAGACUAGAGUACUGCAGGGGAGACUGGAAUUCCUGGUGUAGCGGUGGAAUGCGCAGAUAUCAGGAGGAACACCGGUGGCGAAGGCGGGUCUCUGGGCCUUACCUGACGCUGAGGCGCGAAAGCUAGGGGAGCAAACAGG
rnacentral:rRNA from 1 species